CUUCUCCUCACACUCCAACCCUGCUCACCUCUCAGCUGGACAGUAAGGGACGUUUACAGCACACACUGACAACAUGCUGGGGACCCUCUGCACUCUCAUCACUGCUCUAACAUAUGUUGAUGCAGUGAUAGUGCUGACCCAGACGCCUGCUGUCCACACAGUUUCUACAGGACAACAAGUUGUUCUCAACUGCAACAUUCAGAGAUAUGAUAGCAAUUAUGUCAGCUGGUAUAAACAGGUUCCUGGUGAAGCUCCUCAGUAUGUUCUGAGAUUUCGCCAUUCUGACAGUGCACUCAACUUUGGAUCAGGAUUCUCCUCAGACAGAUUCAACUCUAAAUCCUCAUCAAACAUAGAUUACCAGUUCAUCAUAAAGCGGACAGAGACAGGAGACUCUGCUGUCUAUUACUGUGAGACAUGGGAUGACUCUGCUGAUGAAGCUGUAUUCGGACAAGGCACCAAGCUGACUGUGACAAGCUCCAGCCUCCCUCCUCCUGUCCUGACAGUCUUCCCUCCGUCCAGUGCUGAGCUCCAGUCCAACAAAGCCUCUCUGGUCUGUCUGUCCAGUCAGUCUGUGCCUUUUGCAGAUGUGAGCUGGUUGCUUGGUGGGAGUCCAGUGAGCA